UACGUAGGGGGCAAGCGUUGUCCGGAUUUAUUGGGCGUAAAGAGCGUGUAGGCGGCCUGGUAGGUCAGCUGUGAAAACUCGAGGCUCAACCUCGAGACGCCGGUUGAAACCAUCAGGCUAGAGUCCGGAAGAGGAGACUGGAAUUCCUGGUGUAGCGGUGAAAUGCGCAGAUAUCGGGAAGAACACCCGUGGCGAAGGCGGCUCUCUGGGACGGUACUGACGCUGAGACGCGAAAGCGUGGGGAGCGAACAGG
rnacentral:rRNA from 1 species